CCAACCACACGUAUCUCUCUCUCCACGCCAACUUUUUGGCUGAGAUUUGACAUAGUUUUUUUUCUUUCUUUUUCUUAUAUACACUACACAACCAUAUAACCACCAGGACAUCCCAUUAACUUUAUCCAUCAUCACUACUCAUCUUCAUCAUUGCCGGAACAUAAACAUACAUGCCAUUCUUCAAACAAUCAUCAUCGAAAAUCAUUAAAACAUCACUCCACUACAAGAAAAUAAGAGUUUUACGACACAUAGGUCACGACGGUUGCUCAAUAACCGACCUUAUCCUCCACUCGCGACAGUUCCCAUGACACUUUUGGACAACCGCCCCUUUGUUUUAUAAAAAAAAUUAACAAGUCACGACGGUUGGUUCCUAAACCGCCGUAAGCCCUCUUCUACAAUAGUUAGGAACCCGCCGCCACCCUAAGAAGUUCAAAUGGUUCGCACGCAGAUUGAAAGGUAACGACAGUGAGUUCACCCGUCGUCCCCCAAAAUUCAUCUCCGCUAAUCAGAACAAUUUUCACUUUUUAUGUUCUUCUUUCUCUUCUUUUUCAUAAAUGCACGCCCUAUGUUCCUAAAAGAGGGAAACACACGCCCUAUGUUCCUAAAAGAGGGAAACGCACAUCUCUCUCAGCCGCUCACGCCGAUGUCAAAACCACCCUAAUUUCUUAACAGAAAGAAAUCAUGGGAAUUCAGAAAAAUCAAACGUUAGAAGUGAUUCCAAUUGUUGUGGCUGCUAGAUUCCCAUUGUUGCGGCUGAUCAUUCAUCUUCGUUUUGCUUUGAAAAUCUGAAUCACAUUUCUCUCUUGUUUAUUAAGAUUUAUAUAUGCUGGAUCAGUUGAUGUCACUCCAGAUAUUUCUCAAGACCUUCUUCAAGCAGCUGAUCAAUAUCUUUUUGAAGGACUAAAGAGACUCUAUGAAUACACAAUUACACAUGAUAUAUUUCUAGAGAACGUAUCGAGUAAGCAUGAACUUUCAGAAGCCUUCAACGCGAUAUAACUGAGGCAUGCAUGCAUUCUUUUUAUCUUGAAGCACUUUGAUAACUUGAGCGCAAGACCAGCGGUUCAGAACCGACACAAUUUCCUUUGGAGGCAGUGACCUAACCGUUGCGACUUAGAAUGACAGUUAGAGUGGCGGUUUUAACAGCCGUCGCAGUACAGUCUGGCGAACCACGUUUCAGCAACAAAAUCAAAACCGUCGUGACUUGCAAUUUACGGCGGUUUUAACCGCCUUAAACUUCCAAAAAUAAAUGUCGCAACUUGCCAAAUUUUUUUUGUAGUGCUCCAACCUUGAACCACCACAUGGCCAUCGUUUGAUUUCCUCCCCAUGGCAACAACAAUGACAAGCUCAAACCUCCAUCCACUUCUUCACUAUUCACAUUGCCACCAUUAAACCAACAUCACACCAUCCACUAAUUAAUAACAAUCUCUAUGAUAAAAACACUAUAAAAUCACCAAUCUUAUUCAACCAACACCUUCUCCAUGAUAUUUUUCCAUUUCCAAAUUUCCAAACAACACCAAACAUGACCAAAUCAUCAUUCAAAACUGCAACAACACAUCGUACAAACUUCAACAACACAAUCGAAGCUUCCUUCACCGUCGUGAACCGAAGUCGCACCUUCGCUGCAAAUCGCGCACCAUUAUCUCUUUCGAACAGACGCGCUUCCGUUUCUCGUCGGUAAUCUCUUUCCUCUAACUAUCAUUAUGUUUUCUUAACUUUAUUUUUGUGAUUGAGAUUUGUUACUUGAGAAAGAGAGUGAGAGAAACUUUGAAAAAUGAGGUUUUUUUGUGUGUGUGCAAGGAACCAUUGCUGGGGUUUGAAGAGUGUGAGAGAAUGAGAAAACAAGAGAUAAGAGUGAGAGAAAAGGGGAGAUGCGAGCCAUGGAAGCGGUGGGUUCGCCGCACUGUUGGUCGGACGACCGACCCUUUCCAUAAUGUGUGAGAUUGUGAGUGUUAUGUUUGGUUUUUUUUAUAUAAACAAAAGUUGUUACUGUAAAAAAGAAGAAAGGAAGGCGUGAGGAAGGAUAAAAGUAAACUUUUUUUUUACUCACUAAAAUACUCUCCUGCCAUGUGUCGUGAGUUGAUUGGAAAUUAUUUUAAACUUUGAAAAGAUUUACUUGGAUCUUCUCUCUGAGACCUAUAAAUUUCAACACUGUCUUAUUUUUCUUCUUUCUUUUCUUGUUUUGUUUUAAAUUAUUAUUAUUUAUUACUAUUAAUUAUUAAUUAUCAUUAUUAAUUAUACUUAUUAUUA